UUGUCAUGCAGAAAAAGGACACAGUGUUAUCAGCUCUUGGUUUUUCAAGAAAAGGUGCAAGUCAGGUUUUACACGAAAUCUUUGAUUUUUUUGUAAAAGUUGAAUAUUUUUGUUUCCCAAAACGCAGACAAAGAACCCCUGUGUUGGUCAAGGAAAUACAUCUACAAGCAAGAUUUAAAUCACAGUCAGCCAGUGUGCAUCUUCUGAUGUAGAGUUUCUCUGACACUCUUCAGAGAUUUCUUGUUUUCAUGAGGGUCAUAUUCUACACAAUGGCACAUCCUAAGGCCUGUGGAUGACUGAAUUAUGCUGUAGUCACAAGAAAACCAUGAAGUGCAUCAGGAUCCUUAGGAAAAGAGCUGUGAUGUGGUCUCCAAGAAUAGGAUACCUUCCUUCUAGCCACAUCAUCACUGAAGCUGAAGCACGUUCUUUUUCCUGUUCAGCAUUGAACACUUUGAAUAUAUUAUGACAACUAUGAUUUGUUUGUGCCAUCUUGUGUGUGUGUGUAUAUACAUAUAUAUGUAUAUAUAUAUAUAUAUGCUAAUAAAACCUUUCCAUUAACAAAACUCAUUGAAAACAAAUUCUAUGUCUACUUGUGAUUUAUCUUCCCUGAGACCUCAAAUAUCUAGAAAUAUUAUUUGCAUUUAUUCUUGUCAUAUUUCAAUAUUUUAUUGUCAAUGUUGAGUGUAGAAAGAGGUGGAAAAGGAGAGCGAUAAUUGUGAAGUUGAUCACUGGAUGAAUUAGUAGAUGCUAGAAGAAGACUGUGCAAAAGAAACUGAAAUAAAGAAGUAGUGACA
rnacentral:lncRNA from 10 species